rnacentral:rRNA from 1 species
ACGGCCGCGGUAUCCUGACCGUGCGAAGGUAGCAUAAUCACUUGUUCUUUAAAUAAGGACUAGUAUCAACGGCAUCACGAGGGUUAUACUGUCUCCUCUCUCCAAUCAGUGAAACUGAUCUCCCCGUGAAGAAGCGGGGAUAAAUAUAUAAGACGAGAAGACCCCAUGGAGCUUUAAACUUAACAACAACUCCCUACCCACAAUUCUUCUUACUGCAGGAGACCUGUUUGUUAGUUUUAGGUUGGGGUGACCGCGGAGAAAAACUAAACCUCCACGACGAACGGAAUUAACUCCUAAUCCAAGAGCCACCGCUCCAAGAAUCAAUAAAUUGACAUAAAAUGAUCCGAUAAUCGAUCAACGGACCAAGUUACCCUGGGGAUAACAGCGCAAUCCAUUUCAAGAGCUCCUAUCGACAAAUGGGUUUACGACCUCGAUGUUGGAUCAG